CAAACAGGGAAAAAAUUCGCUGUGGGCGUACACCGCCAUUUUCAGGAAGGAACUCAACUCUUUUUAGGAAAGGGGGUAGUGUUUUAGUCGAAAAAGUUUUGAUGGAGAAAUGUGCUGUUGAUACCAACUACUGAACAUUUUCAGAAUGUCUGUCCCUGGAAUGGUGGCAUAGCUGCAUCUUUAUUUCAAUGAGUGGGACUCCCCUCCCCUCUCAAUGAUUUUCAAACAAAAACAUGCAGACAUUAUUUUUGCCUCUUCUUUAUUUUAGAGAACUGAAAGCCACCCUUCAUUAACAUGUUUUUCUAAACUUUGCACUUUGAGUUGUCAGAGGCUGUUCUUGCAUGAAUUUUACUUCAACUUCAUGCUAAUAUUAAGUUAAUGUUUCAAGAUUUGUUCUUGGAACACUCAGGACAGUGUUUUCCCCAGCAUAAUGGCUUUUGGAAAAAUACAGCAGUAUCUCUAAUAGGUAUGCCUCUGAAUAUGUAAAAAUGUUACAGUACUUUGUAAAAAAAACAAAAAAAGAUGUACAGCAAGUGUCUUGGUUAGCAUGUUAUAAGAACACAUCUGUAACCUGGAUACAUACUGCAAAUUUAAUUUGAAAGCAAGUAGAAAAGCCAGAACAUCCAGAUGGUUAUAUUAGACUGUUGCUUGGGAGUAGGCAAUAAGUGUGUAAAUUUUUUUUUUUAAAUAUAUUCUCAGAAUAAUGACCUAGAGCUGCAGAAAGUGCUUAGCUGGUGGUUCCACUGUCAAAGUCCACUAUCUUUUAACAUUGUUUGCUACACAUGAUCUAAAUGGGGCAGGGUUGCCCAGGUCCUGUGCAUGUUUGUGUUUUUUCUUUUUUCAGGAGAAAGGAAGCUGUAAACACACAAGCCAGUUUCCAUAGUUCACAGCAGUACCCAAAAAUGAAAUUGAAAUAUAACGCAGAAUGUCUCUGCCUGGAAACAUAUGAGCUAAAGCCACUGAGACCAGGCUUUCAAAAGCAAUAUUUAAUCUUUUGAGAAUUUGUAACUGAAUUUUCAGCUAGAUGCUGUUUGGCUCUAAAACAUUGUACUGGUAAAUUCUAACCUGAGCUUUCAAGCAGCUAAAGCUCAAAGGUGUGCAGCAAGGUAAGUGUCAUUGUAGCAGUGGUGUUAUCCUCUUCCCCUGUAAAGAGGAUUUGUACUGCUUGCAUGCUAAGAGCAUAGUACAUAUUUGGAAUGGUAUCCCCCCCCCCCCCCCGCCACCCAAUCUGUACUUAAACAGAACAAAGUUGUUGCUUUUCCUUGCUCUUAACAGUUGCUUAAAAUAAUAAACAGUAAUACACCAUUGGCUAACUUUAAUGUUGAUGGCUGUAUACCUUGCAACACA